AUGUCAGCUGGGUCUAGGUUCCUGGCUUAAUGCUUAGUGACCAUGGGCUGACCAGUUAACCUCUUGAAGCCUAAACAAGAGGAAGAUGUUGCACUGUGAAUUGUGACAGAUUGGAAAUUCUUUCUGGCUUCUUAAUGCUUCAGUUCCCACCCAGAGUAGACAAACAUGUAACCCAAGUUCCAGUCAAUGAGAUGCAAAUGGAAGGCCAUGGGAGGACGUUUCUUUUCCUUCACUACUUUUCCUGCCUGAGACUUGGAUGAGAAGCCUAGAGGUGCAGCUUCUGAGGAUUAAGGCCGACACACUAAAGCUUAUAGAAGAGAAAGGUAGAAAAACCUUUGAGAUGUCAGUGAGUAAUCAUGCCAACUCUGUAAUUCUUACCACUAUGGAUUGAUAUAAAUAAAGCCCCAUCUGUUUAAGU